GAUGAACGCUGGCGGCGUGCCUAAUACAUGCAAGUCGAGCGGAAAGACGCGAAGCUUGCUUCUCUGAUGUUAGCGGCGGACGGGAGAGUAACACGUGGAUAACCUACCUAUGAGACUGGGAUAACUUCGGGAAACCGGAGCUCAUACCGGAUAAUAUUUUGAACCGCAUGGUUCAAAAGUGAAAGACGGUCGUGCUGCCACUGAUAGAUGGAUCCGCGCUGCAUUAGCUAGUUGGUAAGGUAACGGCUUACCAAGCCAACGAUGCAUAGCCGACCUGAGAGGGUGAUCGGCCACACUGGAACUGAGACACGGUCCAGACUCCUACGGGAGGCAGCAGUAGGGAAUCUUGCGCAAAGGGCGAAAGCCUGACGGAGCCACGCCGCGUGAGUGAUGAAGGUCUUCGGAUCGUAAACCUCUGUUAUUAGGAACGAACAGCCGUCUAAGUAACCGUGCACAUCUUGACGGUACCUAAUCAGAAAGCCCCGGCUAACUACGUG
rnacentral:rRNA from 1 species